CUACGGGUUGCUCCAGUGGGGAAUAUUGCACAAUGUAGGAAACUCUGAUGCAGCAACGCCGCGUGGAGGAUGACACUUUUCGGAGCGUAAACUCCUUUUAUAUAGGAAGAAGAUGACGGUACUAUAUGAAUAAGCGCCGGCUAACUCCGUGCCAGCAGCCGCGGUAAUACAGAGGGCGCAAGCGUUACUCGGAAUCACUGGGCGUAAAGAGCGUGUAGGCGGAUUAAAAAGUCAGAAGUGAAAUCCUAUAGCUUAACUAUAGAACUGCUUCUGAAACUCUUAAUCUAGAAUAUGGGAGAGGUAGAUGGAAUUUCUGGUGUAGGGGUAAAAUCCGUAGAGAUCAGAAGGAAUACCGAUUGCGAAGGCGAUCUACUAGAACAUUAUUGACGCUGAGACGCGAAAGCGUGGGGAGCAAACAGGAUUAGAUACCCCCGUAGUC
rnacentral:rRNA from 1 species